UCAGUAACGGCGAGUGAAGCGGUAACAGCUCAAAUUUGAAAUCUGGCCUCACGGUCCGAGUUGUAAUUUGUAGAGGAUGCUUCGAGCAUGGUCUGGCCUAAGUUCCUUGGAACAGGACGUCAUAGAGGGUGAGAAUCCCGUAUGCGGCCAGGUGCCUACGCUCAUGUGAAGCUCCUUCGACGAGUCGAGUUGUUUGGGAAUGCAGCUCAAAAUGGGUGGUAAAUUUCAUCUAAAGCUAAAUAUUGGCCAGAGACCGAUAGCGCACAAGUAGAGUGAUCGAAAGAUGAAAAGCACUUUGGAAAGAGAGUUAAACAGUACGUGAAAUUGUUGAAAGGGAAGCGCUUGCAACCAGACUUGCGCGCGGCCGAUCAUCCGGUGUUCUCACCGGUGCACUCGGCCGUGCUCAGGCCAGCAUCGGUUUUGGCGGCUGGAUAAAGGCCCUAGGAAUGUGGCUCCUCUCGGGGAGUGUUAUAGCCUAGGGUGCAAUGCAGCCUGCUGGGACCGAGGACCGCGCUUCGGCUAGGAUGCUGGCGUAAUGGUUGUAAGCGGCCCGUCUUGAAACACGGACCAAGGAGUCUAACAUCUAUGCGAGUGUUUGGGUGUCAAACCCAUACGCGUAAUGAAAGUGAACGGAGGUGAGAACCCUUAAGGGUGCAUCAUCGACCGAUCCUGAUGUCUUCGGAAGGAUUUGAGUAAGAGCAUAGCUGUUGG
rnacentral:rRNA from 1 species